rnacentral:tRNA from 1 species
GCCCCCAUAGCUUAGUGGUAAAUCCGUCGGCUGACGGACUUUUAAGCAGUUGAUCUAGGUUCGAUUCCUAGUGGGGGUA